rnacentral:misc_RNA from 1 species
ACGCCGAUCCCAAGCACCAUGGAGCCGACGAUUUGGAUCAAGACCUACAUCCCAAGCACCAAGGUGCCUGGUUGAUAUGGAUCGCGAUCCCGAUCCGGAGCUCCAGGGCGCCGAGGAUUUCGAUCACGAUCCCGAUCUGAAGCACCGAGUAGCCGAGGAUAUGGUUCAAGACCCCGGUCCGAAGCGACAAGGAGGCAAGGAUUUGGAUCACCACUCCGAUCAAAGGCACCAAGGCGUCGAGGGAUUGGAUUGAGAUCCCAAUCAUGAAGUUGGCUACGUAAUUUCCUGUUUUCCACACCGUUCAGGGCAUUUUGGUGGUCGUAUCGGCUUUUAGUUGCUUGCUUGGUGUUAGUGCCAAGGGAGUGGUUGGAAGCUAGGUCGUCCUCUGGAAUGCUUGUUGUAAAGGUGUAUGAGUUGUGUUUGGCUUGUUACGGGUGUUUGUUGGCUGCUUGUGCAGGAACUUUCAUGCGUGCAAGCCUCUUCAGUUGUGCUACAAGGCCUUGUUUGUCUUGUGCAUACGGUGGGUUUCCUGUGUUGCAUACCUAAUCAAGGGCAUCGUAUGACUUGAUCGAAGUAAAAAUUCGUAAUGCGCCGCUUGCGGCGUUGCACGAACCUCGAAGUGGUCUCUGUGGCCCAUGUUGUCUUUGCUCACGUAUGGAUGGCAUGGCCCUCGGAGCGUCGCUUGGUCUCUUGGAUACGGAACCUGAUGAUGUGAGCGGUAGGGUCUUGGAUGAUUCUACCUUCGC